GACUGUGAGGCGCAACGGUAGCGCGUCUGACUCCAGAUCAGAGGGCUGAGUGUUCAAUUCACGUCAGGGUCA
rfam:Gasterosteus aculeatus cont1.006632, whole genome shotgun sequence.